ACACGUAGGGGGCGAGCGUUGUUCGGAAUCAUUGGGCGUAAAGGGCGUGCAGGCGGUCCUGCAAGUCCGGCGUGAAAGACCCCGGCCCAACCGGGGGGACGCGCUGGAAACUGCAGGGCUUGAGUACAGGCGGGGAUGCCGGAAUUCCAGGCGUAGGGGGGCAAUCUGUAGAUAUCUGGAAGAACACCAAUGGCGAAGGCAGGCAUCUGGCCAUGUACUGACGCUGAGACGCGAAGGUGCGGGGAGCAAACAGGUUUAGAUACCCUGGUAGUCCGCACAGUAAACGAUGUGCACCAGGUGGCGGGGGGUCGACCCCCGGUACUGUAGCUAACGCAUUAAGUGCACCGCCUGGGGAGUAUGCUCGCAAGGGUGAAACUCAAAUGAAUUGACGGGG
rnacentral:rRNA from 1 species